rfam:Picea glauca, whole genome shotgun sequence.
ACAUGCCUACAACAUAACUUUAAUGCAUCGGAUCCCAUUAGAACUCCAUAGUUAAACGCGCUUAGGCUAGAGUAGUACUAGGAUAGGUGACCGCUCGGGAAGUCCUAGUGUUUUACAUGCC